AUGAUUAAUGCGGGAGAGACCAUAUUUUUAUAUGGCGCCGAAGGAAAAAGUUGAUGGGCAGCCAAUCCACAAUGAAACUCUCAGGCAAAAGGACCGUGUUAUGACA
rnacentral:ncRNA from 2 species